rnacentral:rRNA from 1 species
UACGUAGGGUGCGAGCGUUAAUCGGAAUUACUGGGCGUAAAGCGUGCGCAGGCGGUUCGUUGUGUCGGCGGUGAAAGCCCCGGGCUCAACCUGGGAAUGGCCGUUGAAACUGGCGAACUGGAGUGUGGCAGAGGGGGGUGGAAUUCCGCGUGUAGCAGUGAAAUGCGUAGAGAUCAUGAGGAAGACCAGUGGCGAAGGCGGGUCUCUGGACAGUUCCUGACACUGAGGCACGAAGGCCAGGGAGCAAACGGG